ACUACAUCGGUUAUGAUCUAUAUUUUUUGAAAUUACUCGUUAUUUUGAAUGGAUACUCGAUGAAUGGGUAUUCCGGAAUAGUUCAAACGUUUCUGGAAGUAAUUUUAAAAGAACCAAUAUUUUUUGAGGUGUUGCUACGUUAUUACAAGAUUUUAAGGUUAAGAAAUAGGUUAUAGGAGUAAUUGAAUAUUCUAACCUAAUCACUGAAAUAAUAUUGCAUCGAAGUUUCUGUAAGGAUCAAUUAAAUUUGAAUAAACUGGACGAUUAUGCGAACACUUCCGUGUUCUGUGCCCGAAGAAAAUGAUUCUGAGUGCGGACGAUAAAGAUAUGCUUGGCGAAUUAUCGGAAAUACGAUGUUGUCGUCGCAUGUAACUGCGUGUAAACGUGUGCAUGAUCAUAAAUCACAAGCAGUGUAACUAUGCAUUUUACUUGCAACGAUGGGGAUGUCAGCAAUACUUGAAGAUUUACACGGAACAUUUUCGUACUACGCUAUAUUUUCAUUUCACAGAAAAUCAUAGAGAGACAGUUAAGAUGAUAGAAAUAAAGAUAAAAUUAGUAAAAUAAAGUAAAAUAAGAAAUUUAGUAAAAUAAACAAGGAAGAAACUAAAAAAAUAAGUAAAAAAAGGAAGAAAGAAAAAAAUGAGUGAAAAAAAAUCAAAGGAAAAGACAAAAAUAAAGACAAGGUGAAAGGAAAAUAAUAAAAAAAUGAAAGGAAUGAUAGUAAUAAAGAUGAAAAAGGAGAGAAAGUACCUUAGGCGCCGGAUUCUCAAUUUUGUCCACAUAGAUGUAUGACGAAGGUACAGACUGAGAGAAAACGAUGAAAAAUCGGUAGAUGGCAAAGCCCCGUAACAAACACGCGAGAGAAAAUUGUAGCAUUUGCAGCACGUGAGAGGAUUGCAUGCAGUUCGCGUAAAAGGUCUAAGAAUCUAUGUGUAAAUAUAGUACAAAGAAACGGUCAGGUAAUUCAAAUGGAACUAUAUGAUAAUUAUGAUAUAUAUAUGUACAGAAUGAUGCAUGCAAGUUGAAACGGACUAUUUUCUGAUUCUAAUUGAACGAAAAUGUUAGUGGAGAAAGGUAAUCAGAAUUCUCUAGGACAAUAAUAAAUGUGCGACAAUAAAUUUAUCAAUAAUACUAAUAAUUUACAACUUAUAAAUUAGAGAUUAUGGAAUUUCACAUUUCUUAAAAUUCACCCUGUAUACAUUAAAGCAAAGAGAUACUUCACCUUCAAACAUGGCUGACAUAUCAUAAGAGAUAUUAAGCUCGCGUAACGAAGAUUGCAGCACGAAAGUUAGUAAUGCUUUCUGAAACCCAGUUGAAAGAUAUUCAAACUGGUUCACGAGCUUUCUGCGUUAUAUUCAUUUCCAUCUUUUGCCACAUGGUAAAAAGAAGAAAAAAAGAAUGAGAAGAAAAAAAGAAUUUGGCUCAUUAGAACUUAAAAUAACAGAAAUGAGAAAAAUUUGGAAAAAAAUGAUAGUAAAGAGGCUUGGAUCAUUGAUCGAAGAAUUUUCUUUUAAAAAUUAAUCUUCCAAGAAGAAUUAAUUUAUUCUUAAUUCGAAAAAAUAUUGACUUUCAUCGACUUCGAAUAAAAAUAUUUGUUUAUAUUUAUGUUUUAUAACUUUCAAUAGAUUAAUAUUCACGGAUAAUCGUAUCAAACAAAAUUGCCUAUAAUUUAAUAAAUAAGCCUCAAUC